GUGUGGACAAACAAACACGAGUUAUACCAUAUAGCUCUUACAACACACGGCAUCUUUGGGUAGAGAAUAUCUCUGAUGGGUUGGAGAUCAGCCAUGGCUGCCAAAGCCCAAGGUGACAAUGAAGAUGAUGAUCCUGAUGGUUUAGAGAGCCUGAUGAUGGUUCUCAAAUCGAUCGCAUCCAUGAUUUACCAGGGCUAUUUGCCAGAGGUUUAUGCCGAUUCUGAAGGGGUACGCAGAAGAUAUAAACCGAGGCAUCAUCAUCUCAGUCGGAUAUGUCAUCCUGAGACCAAGAAAUGAGCAUAAACUGAUCACCUUCGGUAGCAUGCAUACCCAACCUGGUGUGGUGGCGUUUCUGCACCAGUGAGAUUGAUGAUUGAAUACGAAGGAAGAUCGUCAUGUGGAUUUGAAAUACAUAUGUAGAUUAGAUGUUAUUAUAUUUUUUGUAAAGCAAGAUGUAGAAAAUAUAUGAUACUAAUAUGAUCGUACCUCACAUUUUGUAAAGGGAUCAGUCAUAGCUAAUUUAGAUUUGUAGCGUUUGUUGAUUCUCCAUACAUUUUGUAAAAGGAAGUCUAAACUAUAAGAAUUCAUGACUAGUGUAUGUUUAUUUAUGGUC